rnacentral:ncRNA from 1 species
UAUUUCAAUGUGCAAAGUGACCGAUUUGCGGCCUAACGUUUUACUGAUUAAAUAUCUCCAUUUAUACUUUGUAAGAUUGCAUUGGUACAUCGAAAUGAAUGCGACCGUUUGCCAUGAAGCUACGGAAAAACUAUUAACGGAAAUUCGUCCACAGGGAUAACUAGCUUGUAGCAUCCAAGCGUUCAUAGCGACGUUGCUAUUUGAUCCCUUGAUGUUGGCUCUUCAUAUCAUUAUAAAGCAGAAUUCACAUAGUGUUGGAUUGUUCAAUUACUAGCAACUAAAGUGAGCUGGGUUUUUACCGUCGUGAGACACGCAGUUUUACCCAAUUGAU